rnacentral:tRNA from 5 species
GCUCCCAUAGACCAAUUGGCAGGAGUCGCACGGCUUAGACCCGUGAAUGUGUCGGUUCGAAUCCGACUGGGAGUAC